GGGCAAGAUCAUCGGACCAGGAGAUCAGGGACCCCUGCGUAGCCCCCACUCAGUCCAGGGGGGCUGCGAUCGUGUUUACUAAUAACAGCAACAAACAAUCACACGCCAGCCCUUCUUUCAGUCCUCGGGCUCUCUUCGCUUUUUGGGGGCAGCAAAGGAGAGUCUGGCGGGGAGGUGGGAGGGAGCGGAGGGGCUGAGGAGAGCGCCGGCUGGGGGACAAAAAGCGGCGUGGGAUGGGGCAGAAAGAGAAGCGGGGAGAGCUGGACAGAGACGAAGGCUCAAAGGUAGAAGAGACAUGGGAGGAAAGAGGCCAAAGAAAAGUGCAGCAGGCGAUGCUAGGAAGACGUGUGAAGGGAAACAGUUAACAUUUCUACACUGCAACUUUUUCACUUGAGACUCACAGCAUUCCUAUGAGAAAGAUCUGCAGACGAAGGUCCAAAGGAAGAAGAUUUUGUUGAAGACUGAAAAGAGAAAUAUACUUGGUGGACAGAGAUAACUCCUUUCAGCACAGAGGUCAGAUGACAAGGCUGCAGCAUGAAGAAGAUGCCAUAUUGUGGAAUUGGGUGUCAAGGAGAAGACAUUCGAAGGUGCAUGAACAGAGUGAAGGUGGUGCAAGCAAGUGCAGAGGAGGUGGGGAGACUGGAGUGCUGGGAAAAGGGUCAGCAGAAGCUAGCAAACAUGAAAGACACAACACAAAACAAGCAGUUGUGCAAAUUAGGAUGAUAAGGGGGGAGUGGUCAAAGGUGUGUUUCUCAUGGCUCAACCAGUGCAAACUCAGUCUUAUGACCCUACAUGACUGACUGCACCUGGCCUCUGCAUCCCUUCAGCCUCUUCCCCAAAAGGACUCCUCCUUAUUGCCAGCCACACAAGCCUUCCUUCAUUUCCUCUAACAGGCCAGACUUGUUCCUGGCUCCCGGUCUUGGCAUUCACUGUUUUUUCUGCCAUAGCUGGCUCCUUCCCAAACAUGGAAUCUCAGCCCAAACAAUAUCUCCUCUGAGACACCAGCCUUGAUCACCUUUAUACAAUACAGAUCUGCUCCUGCCCAUCACUUUCUAUCUCAUGACCCUACAAUGUGCCCCUUCGUGAUAGCUCACACCAGCUAAAACCAUCUUGUUUGUGGAUUGCUCACUUGCCCCCUGCCUGUCUCUAGCUCUAGGAGGUCGGCUCCCUGUCACUGUCUGGUCUACUGUGUCGUACCACCCAUGCCCAGCACCUAGCCUUGCACAUUAUAGGACUUAAUGCAAACUUCUUGACUGAAAGAAAAAUGAAGAAACUCAGCCUUGGGAGAGAAAACAACCAUUAAAUGAUUAUUUAAUAAAAUAGAGUAUUAAUCUAUUUUAUAUUAAUU
rnacentral:lncRNA from 10 species